UACGAGGGGGGCGAGCGUUGUUCGGAAUUAUUGGGCGUAAGGGGUGCGUAGGCGGUUCCGCAAGUCCUGUGUGAAAUCUUCGGGCUCAACUCGAAGUCUGCACGGGAAACUGCGGGGCUUGAGUGUGGGAGAGGUGAGUGGAAUUCCCGGUGUAGCGGUGAAAUGCGCAGAUAUCAGGAGGAACACCAAUGGCGAAGGCAGCUCGCUGGGACGGUACUGACGCUGAGACGCGAAAGCGUGGGGAGCAAACAGG
rnacentral:rRNA from 1 species